rnacentral:rRNA from 1 species
AUUGAACGCUGGCGGCAGGCUUAACACAUGCAAGUCGAACGAGUGGCGGACGGGUGAGUAAUGCUUGGGAAUCUGGCUUAUGGAGGGGGAUAACUACGGGAAACUGUAGCUAACACCGCGUACCAUAGGAUGCGCCCACGUGGGAUUAGGUAGUUGGUGAGGAAAAGGCUCACAAAGCAGACGAUCUCUAGCUGGUCCGAGAGGAGGACGCGCCAUACUGGGACUGAGACACGGCCCAGCAUCCUACGGGGGGCAGAAGUGGGGAAUAUGGCGAAAUGGGGGCAACCUGACGCAGACAUGGCGCUUGAAGUAAGAAGGCCUUCGGGUGGUAAAGUUCGUUCGGUAGCGAGGCGUUAACUACAGAAGAAGCACCGGCUAACUCCUUGCCAGCGGCCGCGGUAAUU